CUCAUUAUAUAUUAUGGAAUAAGGAAAAAGAAUGAUUAGUUUGGUGGCAUCUAUACUUCAAUCUAUAGAGUGCGCUAAAAGAGUUCUUGAUUUCUUGUCAUAGAACUUCAUCUUAGGGCAUUUGCUUGGGUAAUAUGCUUCAAGGCUUUGGUGUAUGCAUACAACACCUUAUUGCUUUAGAAGGAACUCAUAAAUUCUCACCUCUUGCAUCGUUUUGUUGAGUUUCUAGUUUUAUUUUUUGGGAGGGGCAAUUAGGGGGUUUUAUUUCCUCCAUAUUUAUUUGUUCCUAAAUAUUGCAUUAAAAGAGAUAACGUAAAUCAGUGGAGGCUGGGGCUUUACAGGACUUGGAGCUCUGAAUUUUUGGAAAUGCAGCUUUCUUUCAAGUAACUUCUCUUAUGAUAUUUGCAUGCAGGCUGUGAACAACCGUGUAUUGAAGGAGAUCCUCCUAAGCAGCAACAUUUCAAAAGCAACUUGUUUCCUUGUUUACUGUAUUACAACUCCCCUUUUGGAAGAAACUGUUUACAGAGGGUUUCUGUUGAGAUCAAUUUCAGCCACAAUGAAAUGGCAGCGAGCAAUCUUCAUAAGCUCAGUCAUCUUUAGUGCAGCUCACUUUUCCGUUAUGAAAUUGGACCUGUAAGCAUCCACAGGAGGAAAACUUCAUGAUUUAUUCUCCUAACGGAUCUCUCUUAAGCCAGGUCAAUAUAUGUCUAUAUGUUUGAGUAA